rnacentral:lncRNA from 1 species
AGUGUGGCCAGAGAACUGCGUAAGGAUGUGAUGCAUCGUGAACACCUUUUCAUAACCCUCCACUUCGAUAUAACUUUCCAAAAUUUUGGAAGCUCAAAAACUUACGUGAAACAUAAGAGUAUCGACGAUGUAAAACAUUUGUUAUAGCUUUUAAUUAAAAUAAGAAACAAAAUUGUAAGGUGCUCUAUUAAAACGACACGUCAGCAUAAGU